AUCCCGUGGUGAGGACAUGCUAGGUUGUACUCCUAUAGCCGUUCCCAUGCUUCAAUUAUCAACUCAUUUGAUGCUUGCAGAAAUCCAGAAAUUAUUUCUCGAAGAGC